rnacentral:rRNA from 1 species
AGUCGAACGCGAAAGUGGAGCAAUCCAUGAGUAGAGUGGCAAACGSGUGAGUAACACGUGGGUGACCUGCCUUCGAGUGGGGGAUAACGUCCCGAAAGGGACGCUAAUACCGCAUAAUAUGCUGUCUUUUAAGAGAGAGACAUCAAAGCCGGGGACCGCAAGGCCUGGCGCUUGAAGAGGGGCCCGCGCCUGAUUAGCUAGUUGGUGGGGUAAUGGCUCACCAAGGCAACGAUCAGUAUCCGGCCUGAGAGGGCGGACGGACACACUGGGACUGAGACACGGCCCAGACUCCUACGGGAGGCAGCAGUGGGGAAUUGUUCGCAAUGGGCGCAAGCCUGACGACGCAACGCCGCGUGGAGGAUGAAGAUCUUCGGGUCGUAAACUCCUUUCGAUCGAGACGAAUGGCCCUUGGGAUAAUACCCUGAGGGAGUGACGGUACCGAGAGAAGAAGCCCCGGCUAACUCCGUGCCAGCAGCCGCGGUAAUACGGGGGGGGCAAGCGUUGUUCGGAAUUACUGGGCGUAAAGGGCUCGUAGGCGGCCAACUAAGUCAUACGUGAAAUCCCUCGGCUUAACCGGGGAACUGCGUCUGAUACUGGAUGGCUUGAGUUCGGGAGAGGGAUGCGGAAUUCCAGGUGUAGCGGUGAAAUGCGUAGAUAUCUGGAGGAACACCGGUGGCGAAGGCGGCAUCCUGGACCGAUACUGAYGCUGAGGAGCGAAAGCCAGGGGAGCAAACGGGAUUASAUACCCCGGUAGUCCUGGCCCUAAACGAUGAAUGCUUGGUGUGGCGGGUAUCGAUCCCUGCCGUGCCGAAGCUAACGCAUUAAGCAUUCCGCCUGGGGAGUACGGUCGCAAGGCUGAAACUC